rnacentral:misc_RNA from 1 species
UCGAGUUACAGAACUCCCAAACCUUUGUGAACCUACCAUCGUUGCUUCGGCGGGAAUCGCCCCAGGCGCCGGCGGCCCUAGCGCUGCCGUGCCCUGGAACCAGGCGCCCGCCGGGGGACCCAAACUCUUGUCUUUAUAGUGGGAUAUUCUGAGUAUUAUACAAAUAAGCAAUCA